GACGAACGCUGGCGGCGUGCCUAAUACAUGCAAGUUGAGCGAUGAAGAUUGGUGCUUGCACCAAUUUGAAGAGCAGCGAACGGGUGAGUAACGCGUGGGGAAUCUGCCUUUGAGCGGGGGACAACAUUUGGAAACGAAUGCUAAUACCGCAUAACAACUUUAAACAUAAGUUUUAAGUUUGAAAGAUGCAAUUGCAUCACUCAAAGAUGAUCCCGCGUUGUAUUAGCUAGUUGGUGAGGUAAAGGCUCACCAAGGCGAUGAUACAUAGCCGACCUGAGAGGGUGAUCGGCCACAUUAGGACUGAGACACGGCCCAAACUCCUACGGGAGGCAGCAGUAGGGAAUCUUCGGCAAUGGACGAAAGUCUGACCGAGCAACGCCGCGUGAGUGAAGAAGGUUUUCGGAUCGUAAAACUCUGUUGGUAGAGAAGAACGUUGGUGAGAGUGGAAAGCUCAUCAAGUGACGGUAACUACCCAGAAAGGGACGGCUAACUACGUG
rnacentral:rRNA from 1 species